rnacentral:rRNA from 1 species
CUCCGGUUGAUCCUGCCGGACCCGACUGCUAUCAGAGUGGGACUAAGCCAUGCGAGUCAACAUAGCAAUAUGUGGCAUACGGCUCAGUAACACGUAGUCAACAUGCCCAGGGGACGUGGAUAACCUCGGGAAACUGAGGAUAAACCGCGAUAGGUCAUCACUUCUGGAAUGGGUAAUGACUUAAAUCUAUAUGGCCCCUGGAUUGGACUGCGGCCGAUCAGGCUGUUGGUGAGGUAAUGGCCCACCAAACCUGUAACCGGUACGGGCUCUGAGAGGAGGAGCCCGGAGAUGGGCACUGAGACAAGGGCCCAGGCCCUAUGGGGCGCAGCAGGCGCGAAACCUCUGCAAUAGGCGAAAGCUUGACAGGGUUACUCUGAGUGAUUUCCGUUAAGGAGAUCUUUUGGCACCUCUAAAAAUGGUGCAGAAUAAGGGGUGGGCAAGUCUGGUGUCAGCCGCCGCGGUAAUACCAGCACCCCGAGUGGUCGGGACGUUUAUUGGGCCUAAAGCAUCCGUAGCCGGUUCUACAAGUCUUCCGUUAAAUCCACCUGCUUAACAGAUGGGCUGCGGAAGAUACUAUAGAGCUAGGAGGCGGGAGAGGCAAGCGGUACUCGAUGGGUAGGGGUAAAAUCCGUUGAUCCAUUGAAGACCACCAGUGGCGAAGGCGGCUUGCCAGAACGCGCUCGACGGUGAGGGAUGAAAGCUGGGGGAGCAAACCGGAUUAGAUACCCGGGUAGUCCCAGCUGUAAACGAUGCAGACUCGGUGAUGAGUUGGCUUAUUGCUAACUCAGUGCCGCAGGGAAGCCGUUAAGUUUGCCGCCUGGGGAGUACGGUCGCAAGACUGAAACUUAAAGGAAUUGGGGGGGGAGCA